rnacentral:rRNA from 1 species
UACGUAGGGGGCAAGCGUUGUCCGGAAUCAUUGGGCGUAAAGAGCGUGUAGGCGGCCAGAUAAGUCCGCUGUGAAAUCUCGAGGCUCAACUUCGAGCUGUCGGUGGAAACUGUCUGGCUAGAGUCCGGAAGAGGAGAAUGGAAUUCCUGGUGUAGCGGUGAAAUGCGCAGAUAUCAGGAAGAACACCCGUGGCGAAGGCGGUUCUCUGGGACGGUACUGACGCUGAGACACGAAGGCCAGGGGAGCAAACGGG